UACGUAGGUGGCAAGCGUUAUCCGGAAUUAUUGGGCGUAAAGAGGGAGCAGGCGGCAGCAAAGGUCUGUGGUGAAAGACUGAAGCUUAACUUCAGUAAGCCAUAGAAACCGGGCAGCUAGAGUGCAGGAGAGGAUCGUGGAAUUCCAUGUGUAGCGGUGAAAUGCGUAGAUAUAUGGAGGAACACCAGUGGCGAAGGCGACGAUCUGGCCUGCAACUGACGCUCAGUCCCGAAAGCGUGGGGAGCAAA
rnacentral:rRNA from 1 species